rnacentral:rRNA from 1 species
CAACCCCAUUUCUAAGGUUGACCUCGGAUCAGGUAGGGAUACCCGCUGAACUUAAGCAUAUCAAUAAGCGGAGG